GUUGUCCGGAUUUAUUGGGCGUAAAGCGAGCGCAGGCGGUUAGAUAAGUCUGAAGUUAAAGGCUGUGGCUUAACCAUAGUACGCUUUGGAAACUGUUUAACUUGAGUGCAGAAGGGGAGAGUGGAAUUCCAUGUGUAGCGGUGAAAUGCGUAGAUAUAUGGAGGAACACCGGUGGCGAAAGCGGCUCUCUGGUCUGUAACUGACGCUGAGGCUCGAAAGCGUGGGGAGCGAACAGGAUUAGAUACCCUGGUAGUCCACGCCGUAAACGAUGAGUGCUAGGUGUUAGGCCCUUUCCGGGGCUUAGUGCCGCAGCUAACGCAUUAAGCACUCCGCCUGGGGAGUACGACCGCAAGGUUGAAACUCAAAGGAAUUGACGGGGGCCCGCACAAGCGGUGGAGCAUGUGGUUUAAUUCGAAGCAACGCGAAGAACCUUACCAGGUCUUGACAUCCCGAUGCCCGCUCUAGAGAUAGAGUUUUACUUCGGUACAUCGGUGACAGGUGGUGCAUGGUUGUCGUCAGCUCGUGUCGUGAGAAG
rnacentral:rRNA from 1 species